GUCCGCCCUCCUGCUGCUAGGUACUUCUUUUAGCUACAGAACUCCUAGCAGGAAAAGAGACUGGUCAGAGGACGAAGCUUGAGAACAGCACCUCUUCCCUCUGAGCUCUACUGGAGAGAAACUUCUACUCAGAGCUGGGAAAGUUUGUCAACAAAGCACGCAACUCCAGGCUUUCACAACGUGGUUGGCUGUCAGGAGCUGAAUGAUGGCCUGCUCUUUGGGGGCCUUAUUUUUAGUUUCUGUAUGUUUUACUGUGGUGAUGUUUUUCAAAACUAGGAAAAAGUGA